CAGUCACCAUAUCGUACAUAUGGACUACCCAUGAGAUGAAGAUGUUCCCUAUCGAUUUUGGGGUCAAAAGGUCAAAGGUCAAAUGCACUGGACAUCAAAGUAUCAAUAUGGUUUCCGGGCUCUAAAGCGUUAUCCAUUCCACCUACAGUCACCAUAUCGUACAUAUGGACUACCCAUGGGAUGAAGAUAUUCCCUAUCGAUUUUGGGGUCAAAAGGUCAAAGGUCACGUGCACUGGACAUCGAAGUAGCAAUAUGGUUUCCAUUUAAAUUCUUUAAUGGCUUUUUUCAUCGCAUGGAGAUGCUGUGUUCCUAGAUACCUUUUGGAUCAUAAUACUGAAGUUUUACCUAUUACCAACACCCUUUGGGAGAUUGGGGUAAGCGGGGGGUAUUCUUAGUGAGCAUUGCUCACAGUACCUCUUGUUAGUCGGUGCUUUUGAAAGCCUUCCGUGUCGCACAGAGUAUAGAAUCGUAAUCUCUGAAUAUAUAAUGUACGGUAAAUUUUCUUGCAAAAUACUAUUAAAAUAUUGAUUAUCUAAAUUACAAAAAAUAGAUUUUUUUUUAUGGGUAAUUUUAAAUGAGGUAAUAUAGUGUUUUAACUGAAGUUUUUGUAACUGGUAAAGUAAUCAUAUUGAUAUGAAUUGCCUUUAGUCUUAGUACGUUGGUUAUGAUUUGUAUGUUGGUUUGUUUAUUUAAUUGGGAGUAUCAAACAUGUUUCAAAAGCGCCGACUUGCUAACCGCACUGACUCGAGUCAUUUCAAGUCUAUAUGACAUACUAAAUUUCUGCGUGUUUAAAUUCGAUAUUGGGUGAUUUUUAAAAAAUGAGGCAAAGCAUAUUUGACAAUUUUAACAUGUUUUACAAACAGUCUGGAUGAUUUUAGGGGUACCAUAUCUUGUGUCAUGAUAUCGUGUAUGCGUGUUGCAAAAUUCUAAGAGAUAUCUUUAAAAAAAGACCCAAUGCAUCGGUGUCCUAAAAUGUCGCUAAGAAUGUUAGGAACACUUUGUGACAUAAAAAUGGCUUUUUUCAAAUCCCUGUGACGGUGUCUAUCAAAAUCCAAAGAUUUAUAUUUAUAUGGUCGUUGUAACGAUCUAGUUUGCCAAUACAACCUAUUAUUGGGUCAAAUGCUGUCUGACGUGUUUGAUACCGAUUGUUAGACCGUUCGUGGCACACUGAUUUUGACUACGGAUAACUCCGUUUACCUGAUCAAAAUAUAGGGCUCACGGCGGGUGUGACCAGUCGGCAGGGAAUGCAUACUCCUAGGCACAUGAUCCCACCUUUGGUGUGUCCAAGGGUCCGUGUUUGCCCAACUACAGUAUCUAUUUGUAUUACUUCUGGAGUUAUGAGAUUGAUCACUGUUCGUUAUCUUCACCUUUCAUAUUAAAAGAAAACUAUUGUUUAAAGAUCUUCAAUCUAGAUAUUUUUAAAUUCCAAGAAGGAUGAAACAAUAAGACUUUAAUCUCAGCUCAAAAAAUGUACCUUGUCAGUAGUGCAACACAAACAAUGACCAAUUUGUGUCUUUUGAAUUAAAUAAUAUCAAUUCAAUUGCAAA